GUCUACGGCCACGGCACCCUAAACAAGCCUGAUCUCGUCUGAUUUCGGAAGCUAAGAAGGGUCGGGCCUGGAUGGGAGACUACCUCGCAAGACCAGGUGCUGCAGGUG
rnacentral:rRNA from 1 species